UAAGCAAAACAUGAAAUCACAAGGCUCAACCUUGUGGCUGUGUUUUGAACUGGAGAACUAGAGAAUGGUAGAGGUAACUGGAAUUCCUAGUGUAGGAGUGAUAUCCGUAGAUAUUAGGAGGAACACCAAUGGCGAAGGCAGGUUACUGGGCCAUUUCUGACACUGAGGCUCGAAAGCGUGGGGAGCAAACGGGAUUAGAUACCCCGGUAGUCCACGCCGUAAACUAUGAAUGCUA
rnacentral:rRNA from 1 species